GGAGAUAACUCUGUAAAAUCAGCUAAACGUUUUAGUUACGUUGCGUUGUUAAGGGAAUAUUAAGCUUCUCAAUGAUCAAAACUAGUGUUUGUCAAACUGCUAUAUAACCAGUGUAAUUUUUAUCAUGAUAAAUUGGUUGGUUCAAAUUUUUUGAAAUUUUGAAAUUUUUGUCAAAGGGUCAAAGUAAAUACUUUGCCAAAAUUUUAUGAAAAUUAAACCAG
rnacentral:lncRNA from 1 species